rnacentral:rRNA from 1 species
CCUACGGGAGGCAGCAGUGGGGAAUCUUGCGCAAUGGGCGAAAGCCUGACGCAGCCAUGCCGCGUGAAUGAUGAAGGUCUUAGGAUUGUAAAAUUCUUUCACCGAGGACGAUAAUGACGGUACUCGGAGAAGAAGCCCCGGCUAACUUCGUGCCAGCAGCCGCGGUAAUACGAAGGGGGCUAGCGUUGCUCGGAAUUACUGGGCGUAAAGGGAGCGUAGGCGGAUAGUUUAGUCAGAGGUGAAAGCCCAGGGCUCAACCUUGGAAUUGCCUUUGAUACUGGCUAUCUUGAGUACGGAAGAGGUAUGUGGAACUCCGAGUGUAGAGGUGAAAUUCGUAGAUAUUCGGAAGAACACCAGUGGCGAAGGCGACAUACUGGUCCGUUACUGACGCUGAGGCUCGAAAGCGUGGGGAGCAAACAGGAUUAGAUACCCUGGUAGUCCACGCUGUAAACGAUGAGUGCUAGUUGUCGGCAUGCAUGCNUGUCGGUGACGCGAGCUACGACAUAAGACACUCCGCCGUCGGGGAGGUACGGUCGGUCGAGAAGUUAAACUUAACUAAAUUAGUUAAGUUAGACGGCGNGAGACGNGCGACGGACGACGACGAGGGAGGAGG